rnacentral:tRNA from 1 species
GGAAGCGUGCGUGAGUGGUUUAAACGGACGGUCUUGAAAACCGUUAUGCCAGCAAUGGCAUCGGAGGUUCGAAUCCUCCCGCUUCCG